rnacentral:rRNA from 1 species
GUGGGGAAUAUUGGACAAUGGGCGAAAGCCUGAUCCAGCCAUGCCGCGUGUGUGAAGAAGGUCUUCGGAUUGUAAAGCACUUUAAGUUGGGAGGAAGGGCAGUAAGUUAAUACCUUGCUGUUUUGACGUUACCGACAGAAUAAGCACCGGCUAACUUCGUGCCAGCAGCCGCGGUAAUACGAAGGGUGCAAGCGUUAAUCGGAAUUACUGGGCGUAAAGCGCGCGUAGGUGGUUUUGUAAGUUGGAGGUGAAAUCCCCGGGCUCAACCUGGGAACUGCCUCCAAAACUGCAUGACUAGAGUACGGUAGAGGGUAGUGGAAUUUCCUGUGUAGCGGUGAAUUGCGUAGAUAUAGGAAGGAACACCAGUGGCGAAGGCGACUACCUGGACUGAUACUGACACUGAGGUGCGAAAGCGUGGGGAGCAAACAGGAUUAGAAACCCUGGUAGUCC